rnacentral:rRNA from 1 species
UUCGGUGGGGAUUAGUGGCGAACGGGUGAGUAACACGUGGGCAAUCUGCCCUGCACUCUGGGACAAGCCCUGGAAACGGGGUCUAAUACCGGAUACUGACCAUUACGGGCAUCCGUGGUGGUCGAAAGCUCCGGCGGUGCAGGAUGAGCCCGCGGCCUAUCAGCUUGUUGGUGAGGUAACGGCUCACCAAGGCGACGACGGGUAGCCGGCCUGAGAGGGCGACCGGCCACACUGGGACUGAGACACGGCCCAGACUCCUACGGGAGGCAGCAGUGGGGAAUAUUGCACAAUGGGCGAAAGCCUGAUGCAGCGACGCCGCGUGAGGGAUGACGGCCUUCGGGUUGUAAACCUCUUUCAGCAGGGAAGAAGCGAAAGUGACGGUACCUGCAGAAGAAGCGCCGGCUAACUACGUGCCAGCAGCCGCGGUAAUACGUAGGGCGCGAGCGUUGUCCGGAAUUAUUGGGCGUAAAGAGCUCGUAGGCGGCUUGUCACGUCGGUUGUGAAAGCCCGGGGCUUAACCCCGGGUCUGCAGUCGAUACGGGCAGGCUAGAGUUCGGUAGGGGAGAUCGGAAUUCCUGGUGUAGCGGUGAAAUGCGCAGAUAUCAGGAGGAACACCGGUGGCGAAGGCGGAUCUCUGGGCCGAUACUGACGCUGAGGAGCGAAAGCGUGGGGAGCGAACAGGAUUAGAUACCCUGGUAGUCCACGCCGUAAACGGUGGGCACUAGGUGUGGGCGACAUUCCACGUCGUCCGUGCCGCAGCUAACGCAUUAAGUGCCCCGCCUGGG